UACGUAGGCAGCAAGCGUUGUUCGGAAUUACUGGGCGUAAAGAGUGUGUAGGCGGUGCUCUAAGUCUGUCGUGAAAUCUCCCGGCUUAACUGGGAGGGUGCGGCGGAAACUGGAAUGCUAGAGGGUGGGAGAGGAAAGCGGAAUUCCUGGUGUAGCGGUGAAAUGCGUAGAUAUCAGGAGGAACACCUGCGGUGUAGACAGCUUUCUGGACCACUCCUGACGCUGAGACACGAAAGCGUGGGGAGCAAACGGG
rnacentral:rRNA from 1 species